rnacentral:rRNA from 1 species
AACGAACGCUGGCGGCAGGCCUAACACAUGCAAGUCGAGCGCCCCGCGAGGGGUUCGGCGUACGGGUGAGUACCGCGUGGGGAUAUGCCCUUUGCUACGUAAUAGUCUCGGGAAACUGGGGUUAAUACCGUAUACGCCCUUUGGCGGAAAGAUUUAUCGGCGAAGGAUGAGCCCGCGUUGGAUUAGGUAGUUGGUGGGGUAAUGGCCUACCAAGCCGACGAUCCAUAGCUGGGUUGAGAGGAUGAUCAGACACACUGGGACUGAGACACGGCCCAGACUCUUAGGGGAGGGAGCAGUGGGGAAUCCUAGAAAACGGGGGCAAUGAUGAUGUAGCCAGGACGGGUGAGUGAUGAAGGUCGGAGGGUAGGAAAGCUAGUUAAGCUCGGAAGAUAAUGACGGUACCAACAGAAGAAGCCCCGGCUAACUUCGUG